GGCACUUUCUCCAUGAGCAGUGGGGCUGAGGAAAGCAGCAGUGGCACCUCUGCAGAGUCAGAUAGAUGCCGAGACCCCAGGGUACCGGGGUACCUUGCUCAAGCCCUGGUCCUCCCUCUUCUUGAGGAUCCUGAUAUAUGUUGGAAGAAUAAUCAGCCAUGAAAAUGAGCACCACUGGAUGCAUACUUUCUGUUAUUUUUUUCCCCCUUAGAUGGACUAUUUUUCAUGAAGGCAGGUGUUGGAUUGAUGAAACUGCUAAAAAUCCCAAGUUUCUAGAACCUAUCCCCUUUUCUCAGAAACUGUCCACAAUUCAACAAGGCCGGUGGGAAGAGACUUUAAGGCUAAAUCAAUCCAAAGUUCUUUGGGCUGUUGUCAAAUUCAGAAGUGGGGGUGGGUGGGAUGAGAUCCCAGAACUUCCAAAUAUCCUUGAGAUCUUUAACAUGAGAACUGUCUACUGAGUGAGGGAUGACUGAAAAUUUUGGCUGAGUCUACUUGGGUUAUUUGUCUACUUGAGAACAAUAUUAAAUCUCAUUUUUCUGUCAAAA